AGCCAUGCGGUAAGCACAAAGCGAACUAUUCUUUCGCCUUUUACUAAAGAAUACCGUGUGCUUGCCGCCUAUAGUGGCAUACGCUGAUUUUUGGAAGGGCUGCUUUUUUUAGAGCU
rnacentral:snRNA from 1 species